rnacentral:lncRNA from 1 species
GACAAGGUUAAGAAAAUAAACAACAAAACACCUGGGAGGAGACAUGUAGAGUGCUUAAAGGGGCUGAGGGGCAUCAGGAUAGCCUUGUGCAGCUUCUCAGCCCAUGGAAACUAGUGGGAAUACACCUAAGAAACCUACAGAAAAAAAGAUUAAAAGACUACAAAACCAGGAAACCUUGCAGAUGAACAGCCAAGCUUUGGCAUCAAUGUUCAAAAUUCAGGAAAUGAAGAUUGAGAAAGCAAAUGAAAAGGAGAAUAAAGCUAGUAAAGUGAUUAAAAUGAAGAUUUGUAUACACUAAUGACUACUUUCAUGUGGACAACAGGAGGAGAGUUAGGCAAAUGCUGACCACAGCAGGAUACCACAGAUGGCAACCAACAUACUGCAGAUAAAAUCUAACACCAGCCUAGUAUAUUUGAAUGGAUCACGUAGAGAGUCUCCACACAAGGAAAAUAAAGGUAGGAUACAGAAACACAGCAGUGAAGAUGGAAGUAGAGUACCACAGACACGCAAAUGAAAGAGCACCACAGAUACA